GCGAUGAGCUGAUUUGCAUAAGACGAAAAACGGAGCAAUACAUGUGAAUGUGAACACAUGGUUUUUCGCCGCAAACGAAGAAAAGGCGCCUAUUCUGAUAGGCGCC
rnacentral:sRNA from 1 species